GAGUUUGAUCCUGGCUCAGGAUGAACGCUGGCGGCGUGCUUAACACAUGCAAGUCGAGCGAUGAAGUCUCCUUCGGGAAACGGAUUAGCGGCGGACGGGUGAGUAACACGUGGGUAACCUGCCUCAUAGAGUGGAAUAGCCUUCCGAAAGGAAGAUUAAUACCGCAUAACGUUGAAAGAUGGCAUCAUCAUUCAACCAAAGGAGCAAUCCGCUAUGAGAUGGACCCGCGGCGCAUUAGCUAGUUGGUGGGGUAACGGCCUACCAAGGCGACGAUGCGUAGCCGACCUGAGAGGGUGAUCGGCCACAUUGGGACUGAGACACGGCCCAGACUCCUACGGGAGGCAGCAGUGGGGAAUAUUGCACAAUGGGGGAAACCCUGAUGCAGCAACGCCGCGUGAGUGAUGAAGGUUUUCGGAUCGUAAAGCUCUGUCUUUGGGGAAGAUAAUGACGGUACCCAAGGAGGAAGCCACGGCUAACUACGUGCCAGCAGCCGCGGUAAUACGUAGGUGGCGAGCGUUAUCCGGAUUUACUGGGCGUAAAGGGAGCGUAGGCGGAUGAUUAAGUGGGAUGUGAAAUACCCGGGCUUAACUUGGGUGCUGCAUUCCAAACUGGUUAUCUAGAGUGCAGGAGAGGAGAGUGGAAUUCCUAGUGUAGCGGUGAAAUGCGUAGAGAUUAGGAAGAACACCAGUGGCGAAGGCGACUCUCUGGACUGUAACUGACGCUGAGGCUCGAAAGCGUGGGGAGCAAACAGGAUUAGAUACCCUGGUGGUCCACGCCGUAAACGAUGAAUACUAGGUGUGGGGGUUUCAACACCUCCGUGCCGCCGCUAACGCAUUAAGUAUUCCGCCUGGGGAGUACGGUCGCAAGAUUAAAACUCAAAGGAAUUGACGGGGACCCGCACAAGUAGCGGAGCAUGUGGUUUAAUUCGAAGCAACGCGAAGAACCUUACCUACACUUGACAUCCCUUGCAUUACUCUUAAUCGAGGAAAUCCCUUCGGGGACAAGGUGACAGGUGGUGCAUGGUUGUCGUCAGCUCGUGUCGUGAGAUGUUGGGUUAAGUCCCGCAACGAGCGCAACCCUUGUCGUUAGUUACUACCAUUAAGUUGAGGACUCUAGCGAGACUGCCUGGGUUAACCAGGAGGAAGGUGGGGAUGACGUCAAAUCAUCAUGCCCCUUAUGUGUAGGGCUACACACGUGCUACAAUGGCUGGUACAGAGAGAUGCAAUACCGCGAGGUGGAGCCAAACUUAAAAACCAGUCUCAGUUCGGAUUGUAGGCUGAAACUCGCCUACAUGAAGCUGGAGUUACUAGUAAUCGCGAAUCAGAAUGUCGCGGUGAAUACGUUCCCGGGUCUUGUACACACCGCCCGUCACACCAUGAGAGUUGGCAAUACCCGAAGUCCGUGAGCUAACCGCAAGGAGGCAGCGGCCGAAGGUAGGGUCAGCGAUUGGGGUGAAGUCGUAACAAGGUAGCCG
rnacentral:rRNA from 1 species